UAAGAUGUAGCUCAGUGAUAGAACAUUUGUCUAUCAUGCACCAGGCCCUGGGUUCUAGCCCCAGCACUGAA
rnacentral:tRNA from 1 species